UCUGUCCCCUUGCCUAGAGUGCUUUGACCAUGUGACAGCAGUCCCGAGUGAAUUCUCUUUGACUUCUUAUCUUCCAUAUGGCUUUCCCCUCCUCUGUGCGCUCACAUUAAUCAGGGAUCGUUUUGAUUGAAGGGGGUGGUUGCCUUGUUUCUGACACAAUAACAACAGUCUAAACACUUCAUUGUGACUAAAAAGAGGAGAGAAUUCUUCCACGAGAAGACAUUGAUGACUAAAUCACUGUCACUUUAGUAAAUGGUGGAAACUAUCUGCUUGAUUCUGUUGGCCAUCACAGCCUACGUUCCCCACGUCUGCUGCUGCCUUUCAGUAGAAGGAAUUUGCUCCCUGAUUUUGCCCAUCGCCUGAGCAAGUUAAGGCAGGGCUGCUUUUCAGCACUGGAGGAAAGAGAUCAGAAGAGGGUGUCUUUGGCUGAGCUACAUGAAGAUCCAGCUGUGUUUAAGCUAGACCUCCACAGCACAAAGAAGGGUCACCUCACCUCCAGGGCUUCACCGCUUCAAAUAAAGACAUCCAUUCACACAAUCCUGCCAGUCGCUCAGCCUGCUGCUGCUUUUCAUCUGCCGCCCUUGUGGUGAUCUCCAUGUAGGACAGACUGGUGGUGACAUAAGCCCUUUCUUUUUUAAGGUCUUGCUUUUUUCCUGCUCGAGUGCCUUUGAAGAUUAUGGAGUCUCAGAGUCAAUUUUGGCAACUUCCACGUCAAUGCUGAGCCAGCUUUGGCUGCCGUUCAGUGUUUCUUUAUUUAAUUUAUUUAGUUGGUAAUUA